GACGAACUACAUGCCUUUGACCACGACCAUGACUUUUGACCCUACUCGGACUAAUGAGAAUAUGGGGAUUAGCACGAAGUGGGCAACGCCAUUGCCAAAGCACAGCAGUGGAGAAGCGAGACUCAUGAGCGGGCUCAGGCUACCUAGCACAGGCGGGGGAGGGGAUGUGUGGCUGACGAGAAGAGUAGGCCCUGUUGUCUUAAAGUACAGACAGGUUUUACGGUCGGCGGUUUGCAGCUGUUGUCCUCCAGAAACAUAUUUAGGGUGAUGUGGAAAGCAGACUGCAGAGAAUACCUACUGACUGGGUUUGAGGAUCCCAUGAGAUCCAAACUACACAGUACAUGAUAUAUCAUCUAAGACGUUCCCUCUUUCUGACAUGUGGUUCCCAGCAGGAGAGGCCACUGGAGAGAUCAGGGAGACUGUUGAAAGAAAACACCUCCAGUGGUGAAGGCUGGUCUGAAGACAAAGGCAGCAAGUCAUUGCGUACUUGGACAGGAAGACCAGUCACCGCUCCUCCAAAACAACUGCGGAGUCUGUGGUUUGUUUUUCCUGUUCUGCCAAAUUCUAAAUGGAGAAAGGGACGGGGGUGAGUUCAGACGACCGUCGCGGGCAAGAUGGCAGACGCCGCCAUACUGACCUCAUACGCCACCGUUUCCCCCGGGCUGUCGAGCUUCUCAAACACCGCCUCCCGCUUUUCGGGACGGACUUCGAUCAGGUUGUGCCUGAGGUUGACGUUCAGGUCCCUGCUCUUCACCAGCUUCCACAGUGCGUCAGCGUACUUCUUAACCCCAAAUAUCACUGGCAGGGAAGUGUUGUAUAGGAUGUUGGCUCUGGGCCUCUUUCCUGUCUUGUAGAGGAGAACAAAAGUGAGGUGCUUUUGAGGUAGAAAAACUAGUUUAGCUGACCUUUCCCCACACAGACUCUACAAUCUCACCCCACUUCCUGCCUUACAAUUUCAAUUCGGCUUUAACACUUCACUUUCAUCAUAUCAAAACGAAACCAGAGAGGAGACAGUGUUUUUCUAAAAUAUACCAGAACAUAGAGAGGCAGAGGGAAGUACGGUGGUGCAGUCAGGAGCGCUGUCGUCUCACAGCAAGAAUGUAAAAGUUGAAAGCCGAGGGCCUUUCUGUGUGGAGUUUGCAUGUUCUCCUGAUGUCUGCGUGGGUUUCCACCCACAGUCCAAAGACAUGCAGGUUAGGUUAACUGGGCAGUCUGCAUUAUCUGUGGGGUAUGAAUAGGUGAGAGAAUGGUGUCUGGGUGGAUUGGUGACCUGUCCAGGGUGUAUUCUUGCCUCACCCAAGGUCUGCUGGGACAGGCUCCAGCCCCCCAACAACCCUGACCAGGAGUAAGCAGUUUAUAAAAUGGUAGAGCGUAUAAUGACAGAAACAGACCAGUUAAGUCAAAUUAUUUGGUCUAUUGCCUGCAGCAUAGUGUGAACGUGUCACUGUUUCAUAUUUACACUACAUGGCCAAAAGUAUGUGGACACCUGACAUCCAACAUUGCAUCCAAAAUUACUGGCUUUAAUAUGGAGUUGGUCCACCUUCUGCUGCUAUAAUAACCUCCACUCUUAUGGGAAGGCUUUAUACUAGAUGUUGGAUCAUUGCUGUUGGGAUUUGCUUCCAUUCAGCCAGAAGAACAUUAGUGAGGUUGGGCAAUUAUUGGGUGAUUAGGCCUUGCACGCGUUGGCUGCUCCCAAAGGUAUCGGAUGCGGUUGAGGUCCGGGCUCUGCAGGCCAGUCAGGUUCUUCCACACCGUUUGACAAAACCAUUUCUACAUGGACCUUGCAGUGUGCUCAGGGGCAUUGUGCUGAAAUAGAAAAAGGGCCUUCCCCAAGCUGUUGGGGAAGCACAGAAUCGUCUAGAAUGUGGUUGUAUGCUGUAGUAUUAAAAUUUCCUUUCACUGGAACUAAGGGGCCUAGCCCAAACCAUGGAAAACAGCCCCAGACCAAGGGGUGUCCAGAUACUUUUGGUCAUAUCGUGUAGGUCUGGAAAGAUCCGAGUGUUCUUCCUCUGCCUGUUAUUGACAACUCUCAUCUGUAGUGUUGGGGGUGAACUGUACUUUGAUUCAUAGUAACAAGGCAUUUGUAAGGCAGAAAGUUGGGGCAUUGCACGUGUGUUAUUGCGCAUCUUGAAUGUGAUUCCCAACCUUUCGAAAGUAGGCAUCAGAGAGGUACAUGAUCUUUUGAGGUGCACCUGCACACUUCACAGGGGUGUUGGGGAAGGUGAAAAUGGCAUUUCCCUCCUUGAAGUCCUGCAGGGCUUUCCAAGUCUUCUCCACUGUCUCUACAGAGUAGUUUGAACCUAUUU